ensembl:Mt_tRNA
GUCUUGAUAGUAUAAUAAUUACUCUGGUCUUGUAAGCCAGAAAUGAAGAUUAAAUCUUCUCAAGGCA